UGCGGAGGGUGCAAGCGUUGUCCGGAAUCACUGGGCGUAAAGGGCGCGUAGGCGGCCCGGUAAGUAGGGGGUGAAAUCCUGCGGCUUAACCGCAGGGCUGCCUUCUAAACUGUCGGGCUCGAGCACGGUAGAGGCAGAUGGAAUUCCCGGUGUAGCGGUGGAAUGCGUAGAGAUCGGGAAGAACAUCAGUGGCGAAGGCGGUCUGCUGGGCCGUUGCUGACGCUGAGGCGCGACAGCGUGGGGAGCAAACAGG
rnacentral:rRNA from 1 species